CAAAGGUUUGGUCCUAGCCUUCCUAUUGAUUAUUAACAGAAUUACACAUGCAAGUCUCUACACCCCAGUGAGAAUGCCCUCYAAAUCUAUAUGUUGAUUAAAAGGAGCGGGUAUCAAGCACACUAAAUUAGUAGCUCAUAACGCCUUGCUCAACCACACCCCCACGGGAUACAGCAGUGAUAAAAAUUAAGCCAUAAACGAAAGUUUGACUAAGCCAUGUUAACAAAGAGCUGGUAAAUUUCGUGCCAGCCACCGCGGUCAUACGAUUAGCCCGAAUCAAUAGGCAAACGGCGUAAAACGUGUUAAGGAUUAUAUUAUACUAAAGUUAAAAUUUGACAAGGCUGUAAAAAGCUACUGUUAAUAUAAGAUAAACCACGAAAGUGACUUUAUUACUUCCAUCAACACGAUAGCUGAGACCCAAACUGGGAUUAGAUACCCC
rnacentral:rRNA from 1 species